rnacentral:rRNA from 1 species
CGCGUAGGAAUCUACCGAGUAGUGGGGGACAACAGUUGGAAACGGCUGCUAAUACCGCAUACGCCCUACGGGGGAAAGGAGGGGAUCUUAGGACCUUUCGCUAUUUGAUGAGCCUGCGUGAGAUUAGCUGGUUGGUGGGGUAAUGGCUCACCAAGGCGACGAUCUCUAGCUGGUCUGAGAGGAUGAUCAGCCACACUGGGACUGAGACACGGCCCAGACUCCUACGGGAGGCAGCAGUGGGGAAUAUUGGACAAUGGGGGCAACCCUGAUCCAGCCAUGCCGCGUGUGUGAAGAAGGCCU